GACGAACGCUGGCGGCGUGCUUAACACAUGCAAGUCGAACGCUGAAGCUCAGCUUUUGUUGGGUGGAUGAGUGGCGAACGGGUGAGUAACACGUGAGUAACCUGCCUCCUUCUUUGGGAUAACGCCCGGAAACGGGUGCUAAUACUGGAUAUGCACUGGUCUUCGCAUGGGGGUGGGUGGAAAGGGUUUUUCUGGUGGGGGAUGGGCUCGCGGCCUAUCAGCUUGUUGGUGGGGUGAUGGCCUACCAAGGCUUUGACGGGUAGCCGGCCUGAGAGGGUGACCGGGCACAUUGGGACUGAGAUACGGCCCAGACUACUACGGGAGGCAGCAGUGGGGAAUAUUGCACGAUGGGCGCAAGCCUGAUGCAGCGCCGCCGCGUGAGGGAUGGAGGCCUUCGGGUUGUGAACCUCUUUCGCUCAUGGUCAAGCCGCAACAAUGGUUGUGGUGAGGGUAGUGGGUAAAGAAGCGCCGGCUAACUACGUG
rnacentral:rRNA from 1 species